rnacentral:rRNA from 1 species
AUGAACGCUGGCGGCGUGCCUCAUCCAUGCAAGUCGCGCGCACAGACGAGGAGCUUGCUCCUUUGACGUUAGCGGCGGACGGGUGAGUAACACGUAGGUAACCUACCUAUAAGACUGGGAUAACUUCGGGAAACCGGAGCUAAUACCGGAUAAUAUUUCGAACCGCAUGGUUCGAUAGUGAAAGAUGGCUUUGCUAUCACUUAUAGAUGGACCUGCGCCGUAUUAGCUAGUUGGUAAGGUAACGGCUUACCAAGGCAACGAUACGUAGCCGACCUGAGAGGGUGAUCGGCCACACUGGAACUGAGACACGGUCCAGACUCCUACGGGAGGCAGCAGUAGGGAAUCUUCCGCAAUGGGCGAAAGCCUGACGGAGCAACGCCGCGUGAGUGAUGAAGGUCUUCGGAUCGUAAAACUCUGUUAUUAGGGAAGAACAAACGUGUAAGUAACUGUGCACGUCUUGACGGUACCUAAUCAGAAAGCCACGGCUAACUACGUG